rnacentral:rRNA from 1 species
GACGAACGCUGGCGGCGUGCUUAACACAUGCAAGUCGAACGGAAAGGCCCUGCUUUUGUGGGGUGCUCGAGCGGCGAACGGGUGAGUAACACGUGAGUAACCUGCCCUUGACUUGGGAUAACUUCAGGAAACUGGGGCUAAUACCGGAUAGGAGCUCCUGCUGCAUGGUGGGGGUUGGAAAGUUUCGGCGGUUGGGGAUGGACUCGCGGCUUAUCAGCUUGUUGGUGGGGUAGUGGCUUACCAAGGCUUUGACGGGUAGCCGGCCUGAGAGGGUGACCGGCCACAUUGGGACUGAGAUACGGCCCAGACUCCUACGGGAGGCAGCAGUGGGGAAUAUUGCACAAUGGGCGGAAGCCUGAUGCAGCAACGCCGCGUGCGGGAUGACGGCCUUCGGGUUGUAAACCGCUUUCGCCUGUGACGAAGCGUGAGUGACGGUAAUGGGUAAAGAAGCACCGGCUAACUACGUG